rnacentral:lncRNA from 1 species
GACGAACAUGUUACCGCGCCUCAACUUCGAUGAAAUCUUAGUGAUAAAAAGGGAAUGAACCAGAGAUGUUUGUCAAACAUGAACAUACUUGUAGAUAUGUUACGACAUUGUUACGAUACAUUGGUACGAUAGUGUAACUUAUGUUCACGAUAAUCCACUCGACAGUUGAUAAUUUGAUACAAAAUAUAAACAGAGAGGCGACAUAUACCAAAGAGAUAUUCAAACUUACAAGUCGACGACAAACAGACA